rnacentral:rRNA from 1 species
AACCUGCGGAAGGAUCAUUGUCGAGAACGCGAAGGAAACUGCGGACCGUUUACAUGAACGCAACGUGCCCGGACGGCGCGUGCCGUGAGGCGGUUGGCUCCCUGCUCGGCGCGUGGAAGCGUCGUCGGGCCGUCGAGCCACGCUGGCACGCGCUCAGAAGGGCAUCACACUCAUGGGCGCGGCGUGCGCCAAGGAACUCGUGAGCGGAAGGGGCGGCGGCCUCGGCCGACCGGCCCCAUUCGAUUCUUGUAUUUUGGACGACUCUCGGCAACGGAUAUCUAGGCUCUCGCAUCGAUGAAGAACGUAGCGAAAUGCGAUACUUGGUGUGAAUUGCAGAAUCCCGUGAACCAUCGAGUCUUUGAACGCAAGUUGCGCCCGAGGCCAUUCGGCCGAGGGCACGUCUGCCUGGGCGUCGCGCCGUCCGACGCCCCCGCGCUAACGCAUGGCUUUGGCGGGGGGCGGAUAUUGGCCGCCCGUGCUCGGGCUCGUUUGCCCGUGGCGCGGCCGGUUGAAAAGGGAGGUGCCGCGCGGAGCGCGCCGGCGAGUUGUGGUUGAUGGGCGAGCCCCGUCGUAUCGAACGCCGCGCGCGCAUGACUCCGCGCCCGGCGCUGCCGUCCGGGACAUAAGCGUGCUCGCUGCGAUGCGAGCCCUUGGGAACGCGACCCCAGG